UUAUUGGGUGCCAGACAGAGCUGAUCUUUAUCUUUGUCUUCAAAAGUUAGAAAAUUCAGUUACUUUGGCAAGAACUAGAGGAUUAGCUAGGUUCUCCAAGUUUAACAUAAUAGAAAAUUAGCUUAAACACUUCUGUUAAAGAUGUUCAGACAAUAACAGAACUUCUAUCCACAGAAAACAAGGUGCCCUAGACGGAAAGCCAAAUCCUGAGCCAAACUUUACGAGGCAUGUUCCUAGAAGGGAGGGCGAGGGGAAUGCGGUCCACCUCUCAGCCUGGCUGCUUGGCUCCCUGGCUGCCUGCGGAGUUGCAGUGCAGAGUAUCAUUGCAGCGCUUUUUCAGGGAGUAAUGUGCUGCACUGGUUCAGGGCUUUGUCUUUAUUCACAACACAUUCAUUCUCAGCGCGGGGGUAGGGAUAUGGGACCGCACAGUUGCCUGCCAGCCUGUCCUCUUUCACUGUCAGCGGAGUAAGCUGAAUGGUAACUCUUCCAAGACAGACAGAGAGAGAGAGAGAGAGAGCGAGAGGUUUAUACUGAGACAGAGGAAGGAAAACCACGCAAAAAGGAGGUUGGUGGGGGGGAGGAUGCUCUCCGGCACACUCAUGUGUUAGGUCUCUAUGCAAAGGCAGAAGGCUGCAGGAACAGCAUCAGCAAGCUUUUGGGCAGUGAUUCUAACUAUUGCCCGUGAAAACCGUCAUCAGGAUGACUUUGAAGAGGCAAUGUAUUACUUAUGCAUAGGGCACUCUAGCUCUGCUAAAACUGGGAGUGCAAGCACCCCCUUGUUUUCUAAUUUAUUGACUUGCAUCUUUUCCACACUCAGCACUAUCAAGACACUGCUACUACAGGAAUCUUGUUUCGAUCAUCCUAGGAUAUCACAUGAGUCUCUCAUUUUGAAUUAUGGACAGUUUCUCUGAAAUUACCAAAAAAAAAAGAGAGAAGAUAAUUCCAAGCCCUUUUCAUGAUGACUUUAAUAUCGAUGCUUGAAAAGAAAUAGGCACAACUAAAAGGUAGUUUUCUGGUUCAGUUACUUCCCUUAAAAAUAUUCCCAGACUGUGGUAUAGAACCUGGGAGCCAAAGCUUACUGACUCAGUGACAUAGUGGAAAUGGCUAGUAGCAGCUUCGUCAUGGUACACCCAGGCGCAAGUUAAUGCUGACCCCUAGGAAGAAUUUUUUGGACUGAAAUAGUUUUUGUAUUUUAAGCUCUCUAAAUGUAAAAUAUGAGUCUGUCCAACUAAGAGUAAUAAUUAUUGUAAAAUGAUGAUUUGCUGUUUUGAAGUAAGUUGCAGUCUACAUUUGAAAGGUCAUAUUAUAGAAACCUGAAAUAGUCAUAAACAUGAAUAAAACACAAAGUCAUAAACAAAGUCCAAAAAAAUCUGACCUUUGAUGUCUCUACCACGUAAGUGAUAAUGUUUCUAUGCACAUAUUACACUACCAUCUUUAAAAAUACAGUAACAGGUGUGCCUUGCUUCAGAGAGUGCUGGUACAGGAAAACUUAUUCAUUCAAUAAAAUGUUCAAUUGAAAAGUUUAUUGUUAGCUUUAAAAAUAUUUUUUCCAAAAAAGUAGUUAAAACAGUUUUUAAAUAAAAAGCUUACUUAAAAAUAUUCAAGACCACUAAUUUUACCUAAAAAAUUGUUUUAUAUACAUAUCUUAAAGAUACCUAAUGACCAGGCAAAGUGAGGCAGAUUUGCAACAAGUGCAUGACUAUGUGUGUGAUCUCACAAAUGGAAACAAUCCUAAUUUU
rnacentral:lncRNA from 9 species